rnacentral:rRNA from 1 species
GAUGAACGCUGGCGGCGUGCCUAAUACAUGCAAGUCGAGCGAACAGACGAUGAGCUUGCUCCUCUGACGUUAGCGGCGGACGGGUGAGUAACACGUGUAUAACCUACCUAUAAGACGGGGAUAACUUCGGGAAACCGGAGCUAAUACCGGAUAAUAUAUUGAACCGCAUGGUUCAAUAGUGAAUGACGGUUUUGCUGUCGCUUAUAGAUGGAUCUGCGCCGCAUGAGCUAGUUGGUAAGGUAACGGCUUACCAAGGCAACGAUGCGUAGCCGACCUGAGAGGGUGAUCGGCCACCCUGGAAGUGAGACACGGUCCAUACUCCUACGGGAGGCAGCAGUAGGCAAUCUUCCGCAAUGGGCGAAAACCUGACGGAGCAACGCGGCGUGAGUGAUGACGGUCUUCGGAUCGUAAAACUCUGUUAUUAGGGAAGAACAAAUGUGUAAGUAACUAUGCACGUCUUGACGGUACCUAAUCAGAAAGCCACGGCUAACUACGUG